rnacentral:rRNA from 1 species
GCUUAGCACAUGCAAGUCGAGCGAGAAUCGGUUUGCUGAAGGCUUCGGUCUGACGCAGAAUGAGGAAAGCGGCGAACGGGUGAGUAACGCGUGGGCAACCUGGCCUUAAGAAAAGGAUAGCCCCCGGAAACGGGGAGUAAUACUUUAUGAGAAUGAAAGAGGGCAUCCUACUUUCAUUCAAAGCGCAAGCGCUUAAGGAUGGGCCCGCGUAUCAUUAGCUAGUUGGUGAGAUAACAGCCCACCAAGGAAACGAUGAUUAGCCGGUCUGAGAGGGCGAACGGCCACAUUGGAACUGAGAGACGGUCCAAACUCCUACGGGAGGCAGCAGUGGGGAAUAUUGCGCAAUGGAGAAGAACUCUGACGCAGCAAUACCGCGUGAGCGAAGAAGGUCUUCGGAUCGUAAAGCUCUGUUAUCAGGGAAGAAGAAAAUGACGGUACCUGAUGAGCAAGUCCCGGCUAACUACGUGCCAGCCGCCGCGGUAA